rnacentral:rRNA from 1 species
GACGAACGCUGGCGGCGUGCUUAAUACAUGCAAGUCGAACGGAAAGGCCCUGCUCUUGUGGGGUGCACGAGAGGCGAACGGGUGAGUAACACGUGAGUAACCUGCCCUUGACAUUGGGAUAACUUCAGGAAACUGGGGCUAAUACCGGAUAGGAGCUACUGAUGCAUGGUGGGGGAUGGAAAGUUUCGGCGGUUGGGGAUGGACUCGCGGCUUAUCAGCUUGAUGGUGGGGUAGUGGCUUACCAAGGCUUUGACGGGUAGCCGGCCUGAGAGGGGGGCCGGCCUCAUUACGACUGCGAUACGGCCCAGUCUCCUACGGGCCGCAGCAGUCGGGAGUAUUGCACAAUGGGCGGACGCCUGAUGCGGCAGCGCCGCGUGCGGGAUGACGGCCUUCUGGUUGUGAACCGCUUUCGCCGGAGACGAGGCGUGCUUGACGGUAAUGAGUAAGGAAGCACCGGCUAACUACGUG